GGGGUGACUGGUGACAGAGUGAGGGAGGGGGUGACUAGUGGCAGAGUGAGGGAAGGAAGGGGUGACUAGUGACAGAGGCAGGGAUGGGGGGACUAGUGACAGUCACCACCUCCCUCACUCUGUCACUAGUCACCAUCUCCCUCACUCUCACUGUGUCACCCCCUCCCUCUGUCACUAGUCAUCCCUCCCUCACUCUGUCACUAGUCACCCAUUCCCUCCCUCACUCUGUCAUUAAUCACACCC